AAAUUAGUUUUCAAAAAUAUUUUUUUAAAGAUCAAAUUAUAAAAAAAGAUUCCAAUAUUCUAAUUAGUGGUACUAAAAAGAUCCAAUUAUUUUAAAAUAGUAUUUACCAUUUACCAUGUAAACCGCUAGAGGAAUUUAUUUAAUUAAUUUAUUUAUUUUAUUCAGAUUUAUCUAUUCUUUUAAGCUCACCUUUCACCUUUGCCACCCCCCGCAAUUCCAUCAGACGCCACUGGGGGAGCGCGCCUCCUGUUCUGGAGUCAGUGAGGAGAAUUAUCAAAGCUCCGACCAAUCAGAACGCUCGGUUUCGCGUCUGGGAGUUGAGCGUUGUUGUUUUAGCUGUGUGUGUUUUUAAGAGACUGUGUCUGGCAUCUGACUGGAGCGAUGGCGAAAGAGGGCAAAGAAGGGAAGUCCAAACUGAAGAAAAACAAGGAGAAAGGCGCAAGCAAUGACCAUUCCAAUGGAGAUGUUCUAUGUGGGAAAUCCGAUAAGGCCAAGGCCAAAACCACAGAGAAGUCUCAGCUGGGACAGAAGGGGACAAAGCAGCAGAAGGGCACAAUGUGGACAUUUUUGACAACAGUGCUGGAUGUUGCUAUGCAAAAGGUGAAAACAGAAGAGAGCACAGAGUUUGAAAUACCUGAAGACCCAAGGUUCCAGUUAAGUGUGAAGGAGGAGGCAGGUGAUAGUGACUUUGUAACAGAAAAGAAGGGGAAGAAAAGGAAAAGGAAGAGAGAGUCUGUUUCUGGUUCUUCUUCAGGACCUUCUGUGCCACAGAAGAAGAAGAGGGUGACAGAAGAGGACGAGGGAACCUCUGGUGCUGAAAAAAAGAAGACAAAAAAGAAAAAAGAAAAAGAGAAGGUAUGCUCCUCUACUCAGCAGGGUAGCAGUGUGUUAGAAAGAGACGAAGAGUCACGGACCGCUGAAU
rnacentral:lncRNA from 1 species